UACGAAGGGGGCUAGCGUUGCUCGGAAUCACUGGGCGUAAAGCGCACGUAGGCGGAUCGAUCAGUCAGGGGUGAAAUCCCAGGGCUCAACCCUGGAACUGCCUUUGAUACUGUCGAUCUGGAGUAUGGAAGAGGUGAGUGGAAUUCCGAGUGUAGAGGUGAAAUUCGUAGAUAUUCGGAGCAACACCAGUGGCGAAGGCGGCUCACUGGUCCAUUACUGACGCUGAGGUGCGAAAGCGUGGGGAGCAAACAGG
rnacentral:rRNA from 1 species